rnacentral:rRNA from 1 species
GACGAACGCUGGCGGCGUGCUUAACACAUGCAAGUCGAGCGGAGCGGCGAACGGGUGAGUAACGCGGGAGUAACUGCCCCCCUCUCUGGGAUAACAGUUGGAAAGGGCAGCUAAUACCGGAAAGUGGGGGUUGACUCGCGUCCUAUCAGCUGGUGGGUGGGGUAGUGGCUUACCAAGGCGACGACGAGUAGCCGGCCUGGGAGGGCGACCGGCCCCAUUGGGCUGGGGUACGGGCCGAACGCAUACGGGCGGCAGCAGUGGGGGUUAUUGCACAAUGGGGGAAGCCCUGAUGCAGCAACGCGCGUGCGGGAUGACUGUCUUCGGGUUGUAAACCGCUUUCAGCCAUGACGCGGUAGUGGCAGAAGAAGCACCGGCUAACUACGUGCCAGCAGCCGCGGUAAUAC